rnacentral:rRNA from 1 species
AUUAAAGGAAAUAAGAGCGCACAGUGGAUGCCUAGGCACCAAGAGCUGAUGAAGGACGCAAUUAACGGCGAUACGCUACGGGGAGCUGUAAAUAAGUGUAGAUCCGUGGAUUUCCGAAUGGGGCAACCUACUAUAAGAAGUUAUAGUAUCAAUUAUUAGGUAACUAACUAAUUGAAAGGAACGCAGUGAACUGAAAUAUCUAAGUAACUGUAGGAACAGAAAGUAAUAACGAUUCCGGUAGUAGUGACGAGCGAAUCUGGAACAGCCGGAUACCAACAACUAGUUAUCAAAUUUUAAUGAACUCGAAAUAGUUGGAAAGCUAUAUCCCAGAAGGUGAAAAUCCUGUAGAGGUAAGUUAAAAUCUAGGGUAUCCUCAAGUACGGCGAGACACGAGAAAUCUUGUCGGAAGAUAGGAGGACCAUCUCCUAAGGCUAAAUACUCCUUGGUGACCGAUAGUGAACUAGUACCGUGAGGGAAAGGUGAAAAGAACCCCGGAAGGGGAGUGAAAUAGAUCCUGAAACUGUGUGCUUACAAGUAGUCAAAGCUCAUUUAGGAGUGAUGGCGUGCCUUUUGCAGAAUGAACCGGCGAGUUAUGAUAUAGAGCAAGGUUAAGUUUGAAGGAACGCAGCCGGAGCGAAAGCGAGUCUGAAGAGGGCGUUUAGUUGUAUGUCAUAGACCCGAAACUGAAGUGAGCUAGCCAUGAACAGGCUGAAGUGACGUGACCACGUCAUGGAGGGCCGAACCAGGACACGUUGAAAAGUGUUUGGAUGAUUUGUGGCUAGAGGUGAAAUUCCAAUCGAACUCAGAGAUAGCUGGUUCUCCCCGAAAUAGCUUUAGGGCUAGCGUUGGGUAUUUAAUAGUUCUUGAAGGUAGAGCACUAAAUGAGUGCGGGCUCCACCUCGGGGUACCAAUCUCAAUUAAACUCCGAAUGUCAAGAACCGUAUCCCAGCAGUCAGACGAUGGGUGAUAAGGUCCAUGGUCAAAAGGGAAAGAGCCCAGACCGUCAGCUAAGGUCCCUAAAUUAAUGUUAAGUGGUUAAGGAAGUAAAAACGUUAAAACAAUUAGGAAGUUGGCUUAGAAGCAGCCAUCUUUUAAAGAGUGCGUAAUAGCUCACUAAUCUAAUAUUUUUGCACCGAAAAUGUAACGGGGCUCAAACAUUAUACCGAAGCUACGGAUAUGUUUCGGCUAGUAAUAGCUAAGGAAUAUGUGGUAGGGGAAGCGUUCUAACAUCGUAGAAGCUAUAGCGGAAGCAGUAGUGGAGAGGUUAGAAGUGAGAAUGCCGGUGUAAGUAACGAAAAGAUAGAUGAGAAUUCUAUCCGUCGAAAACCCAAGGUUUCCAGGGGCAGGGUCGUCCGCCCUGGGUUAGUCAGGAACUAAGGCGAGGCAGAAAUGCGUAGUCGAUGACCAGCAGGCUAAAAUUCCUGCACUAAAAAAAUCACUGAUGGAGGGACAAAAGAGGACAAGCACGCCCUUUAUUGGAUUAGGGUCGAAAAAUCAAGUUUGAGAAGAUAGGCAAAUCCGUCUUCUUACUUGCCAAAAAAUGAGAUUUGAGGGUAACGUGACUGCGUUCAUAUUUUCUAGAAAAGCUUCUAAGGUUAAUGGUUUUUUUACCUGUACCGUAAACCGACACAGGUGGGAAGGUAGAGUAUACUAAGACGCGCGAGAAAACUCUUGUUAAGGAACUCGGCAAAAUGACUCCGUAACUUCGGGAUAAGGAGAGCUUUUAUGAUAAAAAGUAAAAGCCGCAGAGAAUAGGCCCAAGCGACUGUUUAUCAAAAACACAGGUCUCUGCUAAACCGUAAGGUGAUGUAUAGGGGCUGAUGCCUGCCCGGUGCUGGAAGAUUAAGAGGAGAUGUUCGGGCUUGCCCAAAGCAUUGAAUUGAAGUCCCAGUGAACGGCGGCCGUAACUAUAACGGUCCUAAGGUAGCGAAAUUCCUUGUCGGGUAAAUUCCGACCUGCACGAAAGGCAUAACGAUUUGGGCGCUGUCUCAACAAGAGUCUCGGUGAAAUCAAAUUACCGGUGAAAAUGCCGGUUACCCGCGACAGGACGAAAAGACCCCAUGGAGCUUUACUGUAGCUUAAUAUUGAAAUUGGAAAUCUCAUGUACAGGAUAGGUGGGAGACUGAGAACUUUAGGCGCUAGUUUAAAGGGAGUCAGCGGUGGGAUACCACUCUUGAGAUUUUUAGUUUCUAACCUGCAUAAGUGGAUUAUGAGGGACAGUGUUUGGUGGGCAGUUUGACUGGGGCGGUCGCCUCCUAAAAAGUAACGGAGGCGUUCAAAGGUUCCCUCAAAAUGGUCAGAAAUCAUUUUUAGAGCGUAAAGGUAUAAGGGAGCUUGACUGCGAGACCUACAAGUCGAGCAGGGACGAAAGUCGGACUUAGUGAUCUUGCGGUACCGAAUGGAAGGGCCGUGACUCAACGGAUAAAAGCUACCCUGGGGAUAACAGCCUUAUCGCCCCCGAGCGUUCACAGCGACGGGGCGGUUUGGGACCUCGAUGUCGGCUCAUCGCAUCCUGGAGCUGGAGCAGGUUCCAAGGGUUGGGCUGUUCGCCCAUUAAAGCGGUACGCGAGCUGGGUUCAGAACGUCGUGAGACAGUUCGGUCUCUAUCCGUCGUGGGCGUUGGAAAUUUGCGAGGAACUGUCCCUAGUAUGAGAAGACCGGGAUGGAUAUACCGCUGGUGCACCAGUUGGUUCGCCAGAGCCAUAGCUGGGUAGCUAUGUAUAGUCGGGAUAAACACUGAAAGCAUCUAAGUGUGAAGCCUCCCUCAAGAUGAGAUUUCCCUAAGAGAUCCCUGAAAGACGAUCAGGUUGAUAGGCUAGAAGUGGAAGAGUAGUGAUAUUUGGAGCUGACUAGUACUAAUAGAUCCAACGACUUUGAUGA